UACGGAGGGUGCAAGCGUUAUCCGGAUUUACUGGGUUUAAAGGGUGCGUAGGCGGCGCGGUAAGUCGGGUGUGAAAUCUCGGAGCUUAACUUCGAAACUGCAUUCGAUACUGCCGUGCUUGAGGACUGGAGAGGAGACUGGAAUUUACGGUGUAGCGGUGAAAUGCGUAGAUAUCGUAAGGAAGACCAGUGGCGAAGGCGG
rnacentral:rRNA from 1 species